GUGCUCACCAGUUGGUAGUACGGUAUUGUGUGUGGUCGCGUAGAGAAGUACCGCUCCUCUCUUAGUUAGUUUUAACUUAGUGGCGUAGUUAUAACGUAGCUAAACCCACUACUUUGCAAUUAUGAUCAUGGAUGCCGCUGCCACCGUGGAGAACCCCGUGGGAUCCCCCAGUGAAGUGCCCAACGAUCCAGGCAAAAUGUUCAUCGGAGGACUCAGCUGGCAAACCACAGCAGAAGGGCUGAGGGAGUAUUUCAGCAAGUUUGGUGAUAUUAAUGAAGUGAUGGUCAUGAAAGAUCCCACAACGCGUCGUUCCAGG